GACGAACGCUGGCGGCGUGCUUAACACAUGCAAGUCGAACGGAAAGGCCCUGCUUUUGUGGGGUGCUCGAGUGGCGAACGGGUGAGUAACACGUGAGUAACCUGCCCUUGACUUUGGGAUAACUUCAGGAAACUGGGGCUAAUACCGGAUAGGAGCUCCUGUUGCAUGGUGGGCGCUGGAACGUUUCGGCGGUUGGGGAUGGACUCGCGGGUUAUCAGCUUGUUGGUGGGGUAGUGGCUUACCAAGGCUUUGACGGGUAGCCGGCCUGAGAGGGUGGCCAGGCACAUUGGGACUGAGAUACGGCCCAGACUGCUACGGGAGGCAGAAGGGGGAAAUAUUGCACAAUGGGCGGAAGCCUGUUGCAGCAACGCCGGGGUCGUGAUGACGGCCUUCGGGUUGUGAACCGCUUUAGCCUGUGACGAAGCGUGAGUGACGGUAAUGGAUAAAGAAGCACCGGCUAACUACGUG
rnacentral:rRNA from 1 species